UACGAAGGGGCUAGCGUUGCUCGGAAUCACUGGGCGUAAAGGGUGCGUAGGCGGGUCGUUUAAGUCAGGGGUGAAAUCCUGGAGCUCAACUCCAGAACUGCCUUUGAUACUGAGGAUCUUGAGUUCGGGAGAGGUGAGUGGAACUGCGAGUGUAGAGGUGAAAUUCGUAGAUAUUCGCAAGAACACCAGUGGCGAAGGCGGCUCACUGGCCCGAUACUGACGCUGAUGCACGAAAGCGUGGGGAGCAAACAGG
rnacentral:rRNA from 1 species